rnacentral:rRNA from 1 species
CUUGUACCGACUGGAUGAGCAGCGAACGGGUGAGUAACGCGUGGGGAAUCUGCCUUUGAGCGGGGGACAACAUUUGGAAACGAAUGCUAAUACCGCAUAAAAACUUUAAACACAAGUUUUAAGUUUGAAAGAUGCAAUUGCAUCACUCAAAGAUGAUCCCGCGUUGUAUUAGCUAGUUGGUGAGGUAAAGGCUCACCAAGGCGAUGAUACAUAGCCGACCUGAGAGGGUGAUCGGCCACAUUGGGACUGAGACACGGCCCAAACUCCUACGGGAGGCAGCAGUAGGGAAUCUUCGGCAAUGGACGAAAGUCUGACCGAGCAACGCCGCGUGAGUGAAGAAGGUUUUCGGAUCGUAAAACUCUGUUGGUAGAGAAGAACGUUGGUGAGAGUGGAAAGCUCAUCAAGUGACGGUAACUACCCAGAAAGGGACGGCUAACUACGUGCCAGCAGCCGCGGUAAUACGUAGGUCCCGAGCGUUGUCCGGAUUUAUUGGGCGUAAAGCGAGCGCAGGUGGUUUAUUAAGUCUGGUGUAAAAGGCAGUGGCUCAACCAUUGUAUGCAUUGGAAACUGGUAGACUUGAGUGCAGGAGAGGAGAGUGGAAUUCCAUGGGUGAGGCGGGG